rnacentral:rRNA from 1 species
UACGUAGGGGGCAAGCGUUGUCCGGAUUCAUUGGGCGUAAAGAGCUCGUAGGCGGUUCGGCAAGUCGGGUGUGAAAACUCCAGGCUCAACCUGGAGACGCCACCCGAUACUGCUGUGACUUGAGUCCGGUAGGGGACCACGGAAUUCCUGGUGUAGCAGUGAAAUGCGUAGAGAUGUGGAGGAACACCGAUGGCGAAGGCAGCCUCCUGGGCCAGCACUGGACGCUCAUGCACGAAAGCGUGGGGAGCAAACAGG